rnacentral:lncRNA from 1 species
CGUUGGGAAGAAUUUUUGGUAUAAGAAAGAAAGACUCUUCUCCUAUCUCACGCACGCCUCCUCUUCUUUUAUUUUUGUCGCACCAACCAGAUCUCUCACACCCCAAACCCUUCUUAAUGCCUUAAUAGAUCAAAUCCUAUUUGAUCUUGGGCAUCCAAAUCACAAAGAAGGGAUGAGAUUAAUUGAGAUAAGAGAAGGAGGAAGAAAACAAUCUCUCGCACAC